rnacentral:misc_RNA from 1 species
GUUUAAGAAAAAAAUCCAAAAAUCUAUCAAAGUAAUUAUUUCAGCAAAGAGACAAGAAAUUCUUAGGAUUUCAAACAGAGAUAUUAAAGUGAAUUUAAGACCUUGGCUUUCAUCCAAGGACUCCAAGCAGACCUUCAAUAACCAUGCAGAAAGCACACUGCUCCCAGGCCAAGUAUUUCCCUAAGCCUUUCUCAUAACAAGAGGGAAAGUUUUGUCAACCAUAGAACAUCAUAUACCAAGCGCAAUUUCAUUUCUUUAUGUAACAGUGACCUCCACAAAAGUUUUUCGUGCAUGGACAUAGCACAUAUCCAGCAUGUUGCACCUAUCCAUCAUGUUGCGCCUUAUUGAUAAAAAUUAAAAAUUUUCUAGAUGACAAAUAAGAUUAAAAGCGUUUGAAACUUAAAUCAUACCCUCAAAAAU